rnacentral:rRNA from 1 species
AGAGAGAGACAUGCGCGCAUAUCAAUAAGCGGAGGAAAAGAAACUAACAAGGAUUCCCUUAGUAACGGCGAGUGAAGCGGGAAGAGCUCAAAUUUGAAAUCUUCAAGGUUUUACCUUGACGAAUUGUAGUUUAAAGAAGUGUUUUCUGCUGAAGUUUUGGUAAAAGUUCUUUGGAAUAGGACAUCAUAGGAGGGUGAGAAUCCCGUAUUUGACCAUUAUUUUCAGCUUUGUGAUACACUUUCAAAGAGUCGGAUUGUUUGGGAAUGCAGUCCAAAAUGGGUGGUAAAUUUCAUCUAAAGCUAAAUAUUGGCGAGAGACCGAUAGCGAACAAGUACCGUGAGGGAAAGAUGAAAAGAACUUUGAAAAGAGAGUUAAACAGUACGUGAAAUUGUCAAAAGGGAAGCGUUUGACACCAGUGUUGUUUUCUCGAAAAUCAAUUAAAAAUGGCUCGAUUUUGUAUUGCUUGAGACCUUAAAAGCUCACUGUACAUUUUUCGUGUCUUUUUUAAUGCACUUUUCGUUUAACAAGUCAACAUCAGUUUCUUUUGUUGUAAAAGGGUCAUUGGAAGGUGGCUUUCUUUUCGGAGAAAGUGUUUAUAGCCUUUGGCCUCUGCAAUCGGAGAGACUGAGGUCUGCAGCGUAGACUCUUCGGGGUUAGAUACAUUUGUGCUAAGUUAUAGCUUUUUAUAGACAACUUGUUGACUAUAAUUAGUCUUGUAGCUUACUCGCUUAUGCUAUUUUACCUACGCUUAGGAUGUUGAGUCGUAGAGCACGCAG